GCUGUGUCCUGAUGAACGAUUCUGCAGGUGUCAGUGUGUGGUGUCAGUGUGUGGCUGUGUCCUGAUGAACGAUGACUGGAGGUGUCAGUGUGUGGCUGUGUCCUGAUGAACGAUGACUGGAGGUGUCAGUGUGUGGUGUCAGUGUGUGGUGUCUGUGUGUGGUGUCAGUGUGUGUUGUCAGUGUGUGGCCGUGUCUUGAUGUACGAUGACUGGAGGUGUGAGUGUGUGUUGAUGAUGAGCGAUGAACGAUUAAUUGGGCGACACACCACACCAUAAAAGACGUGAUUUUGAGGGUUUUUUUUUUUUUUAAUAGUCCGGGAGGCGUAAAACUUAGUGAAGAGUAAGGAGAGUUGUUUGAAGAUUGAAUAAAAAUAUAAAAGGCCUUUGCUGAAUCUGUAAAA